GACGAACGCUGGCGGCGUGCUUAACACAUGCAAGUCGAACGAUGACGACCGAGCUUGCUCGGUCUGAUUAGUGGCGAACGGGUGAGUAACACGUGAGCAACCUGCCCUUCACUCUGGGAUAACCUCGGGAAAUCGGGGCUAAUACCGGAUAUGAGCUCCUGUCGCAUGGCGGGUGUUGGAAAGUUUUUCGGUGAAGGAUGGGCUCGCGGCCUAUCAGUUUGUUGGUGAGGUAGUGGCUCACCAAGGCGAUGACGGGUAGCCGGCCUGAGAGGGCGACCGGCCACACUGGGACUGAGACACGGCCCGGACUCCUACGGGAGGCAGCAGUGGGGAAUAUUGCACAAUGGGCGAAAGCCUGAUGCAGCGACGCCGCGUGAGGGAUGACGGCCUUCGGGUUGUAAACCUCUUUCAGCAGGGAAGAAGCGAAAGUGACGGUACCUGCAGAAGAGGCGCCGGCUAACUACGUG
rnacentral:rRNA from 1 species